rnacentral:rRNA from 1 species
GACGAACGCUGGCGGCGUGCUUAACACAUGCAAGUCGAGCGGAAAGGCCCUUCGGGGUACUCGAGCGGCGAACGGGUGAGUAACACGUGAGUAACCUGCCCUUGGCUCUGGGAUAAGCCCGGGAAACUGGGUCUAAUACCGGAUACGACCACUGGAUGCAUGUCUGGUGGUGGAAAGUUUUUCGGCUGGGGAUGGACUCGCGGUCUAUCAGCUUGUUGGUGGGGUGAUGGCCUACCAAGGCGACGACGGAUAGCCGGCCUGAGAGGGUGACCGGCCACACUGGGACUGAGACACGGCCCAGACUCCUACGGGAGGCAGCAGUGGGGAAUAUUGCGCAAUGGGCGGAAGCCUGACGCAGCGACGCCGCGUGGGGAUGAAGGCCUCGGUUGUAACC